UUGCCCACCUCAGGCAGACCGUUGCCUCUGGUGGAAACACAGGGGGGCAGAUUAGCUCUCUCAUAAACCCGCCAUGACGCCGCCAGUCGUCAUGGCGGAUCCUGUCGGGAGAAACAAAC
ensembl:snoRNA